rnacentral:pre_miRNA from 1 species
UUGUGAAUCACGGGGCAGUUCAUCUUUGGCACACAAAGCUAGCUAGGCACGUGGUUGAGAUCGAUCACCUGCGCAUGCGUGUACGUGCCAAAGGAGAAUUGCCCUGCGAUUCGCCU